GCAGGGCGGAGCGAGCACUCAGUAAGAAAGGAUAGCUUUUCUCCCUUUUCUGCUUCGCUCCCAACUAAGAAUGCAGAGUCAGGGAGAUGGCGCAGAGACAAUGCUGCUGUCCAUUGAAGCCCUCCAAAGGUCGGAGAUUCGAUCACAGGACAGCCUGGCCUGGACCAAGUCAGGUUGAUAUGGCUAGGCGGCCUGCUGGCGAGAUAGUGGGAGUGGGCGGCCCGCCCCUCAGGACCUCUGACCUGGACAGAUGACUGGAUGACUCUCUGGGGCAGCAUUCACCGGAACUCAUAUGGAGAGGACUGCCUGAGAAACCAACCUGUGUGCCUGGGUCAGGUUGAUAUGGCUAGGCGGCCUGCUGGCGAGAUAGUGGGAGUGGGCGGUCCGCCCCUCAGGACCUCUGAUUUGGACAGAUGACUGGAUGACUCUCUGGGGCAGCAUUCACCGGAACUCAUAUGGAGGGGACUGCCUGAGAAACCAACCUGUGUGCCUGGGUCAGGUUGAUAUGGCUAGGCGGCCUGCUGGCGAGAUAGUGGGAGUGGGCGGUCCGCCCCUCAGGACCUCUGACUUGGACAGAUGACUGGAUGACUCUCUGGGGCAGCAUUCACCGGAACUCAUAUGGAGGGGGCUGCCUGAGAAACCAACCUGUGUGCCUGGGUCAGGUUGAUAUGGCUAGGCGGCCUGCUGGCGAGAUAGUGGGAGUGGGCGGUCCGCCCCUCAGGACCUCUGACUUGGACAGAUGACUGGAUGACUCUCUGGGGCAGCAUUCACCGGAACUCAUAUGGAGGGGGCUGCCUGAGAAACCAACCUGUGUGCCUGGGUCAGGUUGAUAUGGCUAGGCGGCCUGCUGGCGAGAUAGUGGGAGUGGGCGGUCCGCCCCUCAGGACCUCUGACUUGGACAGAUGACUGGAUGACUCUCUGGGGCAGCAUUCACCGGAACUCAUAUGGAGGGGGCUGCCUGAGAAACCAACCUGUGUGCCUGGCCCACCACCUACCAGAGGUAUUGGAAAAGAACGGAUACGGAGGAAGUGGACCCAUUUAGAGGUGAUUAUUUGGAGCAAAUCCCAUCUGCUUUGUCAGUUAUUGAGCAGUUCCGUUCAUAGGCUGGCAAUGGCAGCUUGAUCCACUCUCAAAGUCUUCAUGGAUACACCAGCAGUCCGUUCAGUAAAGUCCAGAUAGCAGCAGUUGCACGACCUAGCAGGAACAACCAGGCCUCAGCUGAAGACAGUAGUCUACAGGAGGCAUUGGACUAGCAUGAAUGUCAGGAGAAACUUACAGCUGUGCCUCUCUUAAGGAAGUGAAGAUCAGUGAAGACAGGAGACCAAAAGGCGUUUAGCUGUGCAAGCAAGCCAAGCCCUUCUCCCAGUCCCUCCAAACAUCACUAGUCCUCCACAGGACUUGUCUCACCAUGUGUUGCCUCAGCAAAACUCACCUUUACAAACACAGCUUUGAAGGCCAGUUUUUUGAGUUAAUAAUGUAAACAAAUGUUAUUCUACGACAAACGUAGAAUUCAAGAGAAAAAUGGAGUAAUGAGUAAACCAGACAUUAAAAAAGAUUCUAUAAAUGAUCGAAUUACCUUUAGGCUACUGCAGCUUAGGUAUAAUGUAAGGGGAGUAAUAAUCUACAAAUAAGCAAAUGAGCCAAGAUGACCAAGAUGGAAAUGGUUUGAUUAGGAAUUUGAUUAGGGAAGUUCUGCCAAGGCAGGGAUAGUUGGGGUGGACACCUUUAGUCCCAGCACUGGGGCUUUAUGCAUGCUAAGGACGAGCUCUAUUGCUGGGCCCCACGCUCUAGAGUCAAUGCUCUAAAAUACUGCACAAACUAAUUCUCAGACAUUAACUGCAGGAAGAAUGCUCUAAUCCUAGAUGAGUGUUUUCAAAACAAAACUUAGCAGCGAAGACCAAAAAA
rnacentral:lncRNA from 1 species